ACGGUACUCCCUCCGUCCGGAAUUACUUGUCACCAAAAUGGAUGUAUCUAAAACUAAAAUACAUCUAGAUACAUCCAUUUCAAUGACAAGUAUUUCCGGACGGAGGGAGUAUGAC
rnacentral:pre_miRNA from 1 species